ACGGAAGGCAGCAGUGGGGAAUAUUGCACAAUGGGGGAAACCCUGAUGCAGCGACGCCGCGUGAGUGAAGAAGUUAUUCGUAAUGUAAAGCUCUAUCAGCAGGGAAGAAAAUGACGGUACCUGACUAAGAAGCCCCGGCUAACUACGUGCCAGCAGCCGCGGUAAUACGUAGGGGGCAAGCGUUAUCCGGAUUUACUGGGUGUAAAGGGAGCGUAGACGGCUUAGCAAGUCUGAUGUGAAAGGCAGGGGCUCAACUCCUGGACUGCAUUGGAAACUGUUAAGCUAGAGUGCCGGAGAGGUAAGCGGAAUUCCUAGUGUAGCGGUGAAAUGCGUAGAUAUUAGGAGGAACACCAGUGGCGAAGGCGGCUUACUGGACAGUAACUGACGUUGAGGCUCGAAAGCGUGGGGAGCAAACAGGAUUAGAUACCCUGGUA
rnacentral:rRNA from 1 species